rnacentral:rRNA from 1 species
AGGCCUUUCGGGGUACACGAGCGGCGAACGGGUGAGUAACACGUGGGUGAUCUGCCCUGCACUUCGGGAUAAGCCUGGGAAACUGGGUCUAAUACCGGAUAUGACCUCCUAUCGCAUGGUGGGUGGUGGAAAGAUUUAUCGGUGCAGGAUGGGCCCGCGGCCUAUCAGCUUGUUGGUGGGGUAAUGGCCUACCAAGGCGACGACGGGUAGCCGACCUGAGAGGGUGACCGGCCACACUGGGACUGAGACACGGCCCAGACUCCUACGGGAGGCAGCAGUGGGGAAUAUUGCACAAUGGGCGAAAGCCUGAUGCAGCGACGCCGCGUGAGGGAUGACGGCCUUCGGGUUGUAAACCUCUUUCAGCAGGGACGAAGCGCAAGUGACGGUACCUGCAGAAGAAGCACCGGCUAACUACGUGCCAGCAGCCGCGGUAAUACGUAGGGUGCAAGCGUUGUCCGGAAUUACUGGGCGUAAAGAGUUCGUAGGCGGUUUGUCGCGUCGUUUGUGAAAACCAGCAGCUCAACUGCUGGCUUGCAGGCGAUACGGGCAGACUUGAGUACUGCAGGGGAGACUGGAAUUCCUGGUGUAGCGGUGAAAUGCGCAGAUAUCAGGAGGAACACCGGUGGCGAAGGCGGGUCUCUGGGCAGUAACUGACGCUGAGGAACGAAAGCGUGGGUAGCGAACAGGAUUAGAUACC